UUUAUUUGAGAGUUUGAUCAUGGAUCAGGAUGAACGCUGGCGGCGUGCCUAACACAUGCGAGUUGAGCGAUUUACUUCGGUAAAGAGCGGCGGACGGGUGAGUAACGCGUGCGUAACCUACCCUGUACACACGGAUAACAUACCGAAAGGUAUGCUAAUACGGGAUAAUGUAUUUGAGGGGCAUCUCUUAAAUAUCAAAGGUGAGCCAGUACAGGAUGGACCCGCGUCUGAUUAGCUAGUUGGUAAGGUAACGGCUUACCAAGGCGACGAUCAGUAGCCGACCUGAGAGGGUGAUCGGCCACAUUGGAACUGAGAC
rnacentral:rRNA from 1 species